AUACGGAGGGGGUUAGCGUUGUUCGGAAUUACUGGGCGUAAAGCGCACGUAGGCGGACUGGAAAGUUGGGGGUGAAAUCCCGGGGCUCAACCCCGGAACUGCCUCCAAAACUUCCAAUCUCGAGAUCGAGAGAGGUGAGUGGAAUUCCAAGUGUAGAGGUGAAAUUCGUAGAUAUUUGGAGGAACACCGGUGGCGAAGGCGGCCCACUGGCUCGAUACUGACGCUGAGGUGCGAAAGCGUAGGGAGCAAACAGGAUUAGAUACCCCUGUAGUCC
rnacentral:rRNA from 1 species